UACGUAGGGGGCAAGCGUUGUCCGGAUUUAUUGGGCGUAAAGAGCGUGUAGGCGGCCUGUCAAGUCCGAUGUGAAAUCUUGCGGCUUAACCGCAAGCCUGCAUUGGAAACUGUCAGGCUAGAGUCUGGAUGAGGAAGGUGGAAUUCCUGGUGUAGCGGUGAAAUGCGCAGAUAUCAGGAGGAACACCGGUGGCGAAGGCGGCCUUCUAGGACAGUACUGACGCUGAGACGCGAAAGCGUGGGGAGCAAACAGG
rnacentral:rRNA from 1 species